CUGGUCCCAGACCUGCUCACAGUUCAUCUUCUCUCUUGACAGAGCUAACAACACUCCAGCAAGGCUACUCCUCUCCACAGCUGCCCAGAAUUAGGCUUCCUCUGUAUCCCAGUCUUCCCUUCCACAGAUUAGCAUGUUGUUAUCCACCACAGAUCAAGACAUGUUUCUGUCAAAGGACUCCAUAAUCCAUUCCUACAGAAAACCAUGCAUCAAGUUCGCAGGAUGAGGUUCUGAUAGAUGAAGCACUCACUUACAUGGUGACAAGUAGAAAUGGUUAUAUAAAAUGAAAUAUCAUUUAAGCAAGUGAGUAAUCCAAUCCAUUUUAAACACAGUCCUUAAUGGGGAGGAUGGGGGGCACCUUAAAUGUAAGCAGAUGAAUAAUCCAAUCCCUGUUGUGCUGGCAAUACGUAUAUUUAAACACAUUAUUUUAAGUGUCUAGGAGGCCAACAAAACCAACUUUCCAUACUAUUUAUGCCUACUGUACCCAGCCAGCUUGCAGGGCAUCAUCAAAAACUACUCUGCUGACAUCAGUAGUGUUUGGUUUUGGCCCCUUAUACAAUUUAACACUGACAAUCGUAGAGUGAAAGUGAGUUUAGCAUCAAAUUUAUUCUUGAUUGGAAAACAUGCACAACAAAUGUAAUUACUGCACAAGAAAAAGUAUGCCUGAGAUGGACUCCAUAGAGAGGAUGUGGUCACAAGGGCUCUCUUGAGCAAGAACACUGUGGUGCCCAGCUUUAUAAGCUGUUUUGGCACAUGCCCUUGACACCUCAUGCUGAAACACAGCUCCUGCCCUCUGAGAUCAUUCUCCUCCACCAGGACAAAUCCCAGGGCCUACCUGCUGCCUGCUAUCCAGAGAAAAAGGCAUAGUUCAGGAUCCUGCAACACAGGAACAGCAAACCUGCUAGUUUGCAGCACCAACCAUUUCUCCAUUUCACUGAAACUCCUAAAUUACCACAAUAUAAUAUACGCCUUUCUCUUUUAAGUCCUGAAACUUCAUUUUGCCCUGCUUUGAUACGUCACCCUUCUCUACGCAUUACUGGGAUGCCCUGGAUCUGCAGCGCACCUCACUGUAGGGAUUCCACCCGUGUUCACACACGUCCUUCCACCAGCAAAGCCUCAGUGUCACAUCAAGAGGCACAGACUCCCUGCUGUGCAGACCUCUUGUUAUCAAGAGAUUGUUGAAAAAACACAGCGCAGUUGCAAGGACUUAUCCCUGGAUGUAAAUAUGUUUCAAAUUAAAGCAGAACUAGAAAUGACUGCAACAUAAAGAAAGCUCUGCUGACUGGAAAAUCUGGUAAACUCAUGUCUUUUCCAGAUAUAUCUAUCGCAUCGUAUUUUUAAAUGACCGGUUUUGUGUUUUUCAGCUGCACAGUCUCCAGUUUGUGUUCCCGGCUGUAAGUAUAAUAGGAUUUUUUUUUAAGUCUUCAGCUUCAGGCAUUUUUUUUUCUCCUUUUCUUCCUUACAUCUCCCUCGCUAGCAUUAGAAUGACUAUACUUCCUUAACACUAUCUGCUACUUUUUAAUCUUGAAUUCAUAACUUCCGAUAGCCUGGAUAUGGUUUCUCUUAGAGAGAGCGCCUUAGAAAAAUUAUGUGUAAAUACUGCAGCGCUGACUGGGGUUUCACGUCUCUGUAUUUAUGCCUUGUAUAUACUCUCGGCUCCCGAUCUGCUUGCUUGCCAGCGUGAUUGAUUGGCUGUGUACUGAGGGAUGUUUAUAACAGCGGGCAGGUACUGUACGCGAACACGGACGCCAACACCCGAGGGCACGGAGCGGAGCGCUGCUGCCGCGUUCCUGCGGCUCCGAGGCCGCAUCACCGGCACCGAUCCCGUGCUUCAUCGGUGGGGAGGUUUUCCAUUCCUCCUCCGCAGCAAACGGAACCAGCCCAGAGCAGACAGCGGCCGGCGGCGGCGGGGGUGGGAGAGAAGAUCAGUAAUAACAACAACCGACAACGUAUGGCAGUAUUUUAUUUAUUGUAAAGCCUCUGACCGAGGCGAGCCCCGCCCCGCCGGCUCCACCUGCCCGGGCACGGGGCCGGGAGGAGCCGCGCCGCCACCCCGGGGCUUCUCCACGUGGGUCCCAUUAGCGUCAUUUGCUCUCGGCGGGGGGGGGUGGGGGAGGGGGGGAUUAAAGCGAUUAGAAUGAAAAUAAUUAAAUGAGCUUCCAAUUGCCCGGCCUGACUCCUUGCACUGGGGAGGGGGGACUAACUGUCACCGCGGGAGCGUUUGGGAUUAUUAUUAAUAUUUAUUUUGUUUUUCGAAUCCUUUGUCUUUAAAGGAAAGGAAACAAAAGUGGGAGAAGGGAGAGAGAAGGAAAAAAAAAAAAACAACGUUGCAACUGUCACCGUUUUGCAAGCGUCAGAUUAGCGCUUUGUCAUAACGUGACCACACUGUUUCCGAUAGGUUUUCCAACCCGUAAUCGUUUGUAACGUCUCAGCUUUGAAUCGGGAAAGCAAAAUAAAAAGCAAAAACACUCUGAUGCUUUGGGUUUAAAAUGCUUUCUAGAGUGGGGAAAGUGGAGGUUUCUAUUUUCUUGCGGCAGUGAGAAGCGAAAUAGCCGCGUUUUACCACUUGGAAUAACGCCAUAAUCUUGACGAAGGGAUUCAAACAUUUAAAGAUAACAGAUGCGCUGUAGCCCGACGGAGCGGUGCCCGCCUCGUCACGCUCUUCCCUUUCUCAAGGUCAGCUCUGAGCAAGCGGUAGCUCCGCUCGUACGCGUCGCGCAGCGCACACUGCACCGCGGUGGCAGACACGGAGCUAAUCCAAUCCUUACCUCAGUUUUCAACGUUUUCUUUUGCAUCGAUAAAAUCGAACCGCUUUAGAACCGUAUCCACGGCAACAACGCACAGGCUGAGCUAGCGGCAAGCACCUUGCCUCUCUGCUGCUUUACUCUUGAAAGGAACGUUCGAAUUAAGCGGUGAUAACGCCAAGGGGCCCACUUCGGGAAAUUCACGGGGUCGGUUCUCAGCAGCAUACCGAAGGGAGAAAGAAAAAAAAAAAAAAAGGAAGGAAAGAAGAACGGAGGACGGAAGGAAGAGAGCCGCCGUUUGGGGCGGCCCUGGCUCCGCUCCUCUCGUCACCGUGACCCCAACCCACCCCUCGGCAAAGCUCCCAGCCGUCAUGCCUCAUCUACACGAAGGCACAGCUCCAGAGCGGGGAAUUCCAUUUCCUAAUUAAAAUCUCGUCAGAAGAACUCAGGGAUCUGCGCUUCUGUACUCCCCGGGCGUGCGAACACCGCAGCAAAAUCAAUGAGGCUGUAUUGCGCGGCUUUGGGCGUACUCUCUGCGCCUACUUCGACUCAAAGGGUCCUUCUGAAGCUGAAAAUUUGCCCUGAGGCGCUGUUAUUUCUCAAAUCUUUCAGGGUGAAAUUAACGUACAGACGUUUCUUUGAUAUGGCGGGGAGGGAAAAUCUCGCGUGUUGUCAGAAGUUAAUUUUCAGCUACUAGAGGAGUUCUUGACUUGAAAUAUUUUACUUUCCUCUGUAAAAGUUACUGGUUUGCUUUCCGUGGUCGUUCGGCGGGCCGAAGCCCCCACGCCAGCAUUCAGCAACGAGCACGGCCCCGUCCAGCAAAAGGUGGUGCGACCCUUCCCGCCCCUUCGUGCCAAACCCUUGCCUUUCUCAUUACCCGUAAAACGUUUACAGCCUCUCGGCCGAAGGCGUUUGUCGGGAGCGCGCCUUUACGAGUAGUGCCGCAGCGGCAUUCCGCCUAACGCCUCCCUUCCUGAUCCUAUUACCGGCCCUGGUUCGCCGCUUACGGGCAGUAAAAGUCCCAUUCGGGAAGCGGGCAGAGAGCCGCGCAGGUGCCGGCUGCGUGCAUUAAUAAUAAUUGUCCUGAAUUGUUCUUCAAGGAAAAUAGCGAUUCCUCCCACCCUCCCCCCCGCCGCUCUCCGAGCCCCUCCGUUCCUCACCCCGCAGGAUGGAGGGGAAGGGGAGCAGCGUCCGCUGGAAGAAGCUCUUCGCGUUUCCUUUCUCCUCCGGCUGUGGGACUCGCACGCAGCUCCGCGCCCUUUAGCAAACACCGAGGGGAAGUGGGGGAAAAAAAUGCUAUUGACCGAAACGAGUGUACCUUUGGUGGCCGGGAGCGAUGCUGCUGCUCUCCCUUAUUUCGGGACUGAUGCACCUCGGGGAUCCCGGGCUCCUCCGGUAGCGCUCCUCAGCCACCUACAACGGCACGAAGUUGGGUGUAAGGCACAGCAGCCGGACGCACACACACACGUUUUUGGCUGCUGGGGGAGGCCCGCAACCCACUGAUGCCAGGCAGCUUCCCCCCGCCCCUGGGCGCACUCACCACAUCUCUGCCCCCAGACCGCGGGGAAACCCUCGCCCUCCAACAAUUCCCUUCCUUCCCUUCUCUCUCCUUUUUUCUUUUUCCUUUUUUUUUUUGUUCCCCCUACCUUUCCUGAGGGCUGUACUGCGGCCGGGCACGUCCUGCCCCCGACGCGCUGCCAAGCAGCCGCCCACCCCCACCCGAGACUCUCCGGCCGUCCGUCGGCGCGGUGUCCUGGAAGGCCGGGCAGGGGGGGGACCCGGAGAGCCUCGGCCCUGCCGAGCAGGGGGGUCUCACUCGGUCAACCCCCCCCUUCCCCCCCAGGACAAUGGGCGCCCCGACAGCUCGCCCUGAGCCGGCCCCACAGCACCGCGGAGAGCCGUCGGCCCGCUUUAAGAGCCGGGCGGGACGGAGUCCUCCUGACACGGGCGUUUGAUUUAAAGACGUCUCCCGAGAAACGCAAAUAAAUAACUUCUCGAGGAGAAAAUGAACCCGAGCCCAAAGCUGACAGGGGCUGCAAACGCUAAAGAUGUGUACGGACGGGAGAAAGAGCAAAAGUAAAUAAAUCUUGGUUACCUAAUUGAAAGGCAGAAGCGAGCCCUUUGUGUACACAGCGCUUCAGGAAGAAGAAAACCAGAGCUCGGGGGACGCGAGGAGCGCGGCGCCCGCCCGGGGCUGCUCUGUGCCGUCGGGGAGGCUCCUUCGGCGGCGGGAGGUUGACCCCCGUCAGCUGAGGGCGGCCUCCCUCACCCCCAGAAAACGGAGUAAAAAAGGAGCUAUAGGAAGAGCCCAGGAGCUUCCGUGGCUGCGGAGCUAUUCUCCUGGGAGAGUACAGAGGGGCACUUCUCCCCCGAAACGAGAGCGAAGGGACGUGAGGGGAAGCUGGAAAGGUGCGAAGGUUCCUCAAAUCGGUUAUAGCGUUAUCAUCUGGAAGAAUCUCCGAAGCCGUCCAAUUCUGAGCAAGUAUGACAAAGGAUCGACAACGAAUGUCUGGAGAGGACUGCUCGGUGUCUCUCGCGAUCACUGGCAAGUUCUUCUCCCUGGCUGUGUAAUCAUUCCCAGCACCUUCAAAGACGUGCAGGCUGACACAUACCGCCAACCCUUUGUGCUGGUACUGUGAAGCAACGGCACGCCAGUGCUAAGAACUCAGCUUCUUGCACUCCGGUGUGGGAGAGCAGUACUGAGGGAUGCCCUGGACACACUCUUUCACUUCCUAUAACCCUCACAGUAAUUAAUAACAACUACGAUUAACCGCUUCAAUUUAAUAUCAUACAGUAUUCUCCACUCCCUUCCGUUUUGCUGUGCCAAUCGCAUGAAAACUUCCUGAUGAGCUCCAAGUAACCCCUCUCCAGGACGUCAAGGACAGCUUCACCUACCAGCCCUAAACCCAUAUGCAGCAAUCUCACCUCGUCACGUCAGCCUCCCUCUGGACAUUGUUUCCAGCAGCAGUUGCAGCAAAGCCAGCAGGCUGCCACCUCCACAAGCAGAGCGCUCAGCUCUGCUCAGCUGUCUCCGUUACAGACAAAAUCAGUUUGUUAAUGCUGAAUUGAUGUGCAGAUCUCCAUACCUCUAACAACAAAAAGGAGUGGUUGUUCUGAUACCUCUCCUGUCGACAUCUAUGCAUUGUGGCUGCAAGUUGGAAGCGCCUUUGGAAUUGUUGUGUAAUAUUCUUGAUAUGCAGGUGCACAACUGGGUGUACCAGGAAUGGAGAUGUUGAAAAGAGCCUCUUCAGUGUCAUUAACACCAUCUGGUGUAGUGCACUCCUAAAACAGUGCAGUUCUGGGAGAGACGCCACUUCCUUCUACUGUCAUGAUUUCCUGACAUCUCAGUUUUCCAACUAUGGGAAAUGAUGUUUUGAAAAAGCAGUUUUGACACAUGAAUACAAAACUAAUAAUAAUAAUAAAACUUAAAUCUUAUUAACUUUUAAUAAGAUGUAACCAUUCACAAGGCAUGGAAGAGGAGCUGCUACAAGUUACGUGGUUCAAAAAUCUCAAAACAAACCCAAAUCUUUGCACCUAAAUUCUCAGAUUCCUGCUUUUUUAAAAGAAAGCUGUUACCAAAAGUGGAACACAAGUAGGCUGAUGAACGCAGUCCUGUCACACUAGACCAUGAGGGAAGGUGGGGGAUAUGAGCUGGUCUGCAGUCAGCACAGCUGCUCCAGUUGCCCAAGCUGAGCACCCUGCCCAGCACUGCUGAGCCCAGCUGUGAAUGAGCACAGCCUGUUGCUUGGGCAGCACUUCUUAGUUUGGCUACCUUGCAAAUGUGGGCUAGGCUGUUUUUAGGAAGUCUCUGUGUUCCUGUCGGGAGUAGAAUGAAAAGGCAGUAACGCACACACAUUUGCACAGUUGUAUGUUGAGCUUUAGUGUAUUUAUCAUCUUCUUUAAAGAGCAGCUCAGUGCAUACAAAUUCAGGAAUCUACCUUUGAUGAUGAGAUGGCAUUUGCACAGAAAAGGACACAGCUGAAAUGGAGUUGCUUUUAAAUAACGCUUUAUUUGUGUGUGGCUUUUAUUUUAUUAUUAAUAUUAUUAUUUUAAGAAAGCAACGUGAACAGUGCCUUACAGCCAAAAAUUAGCUACUUCACUGCUGUGAAUUAAUAAACCCUAUUAAAUUUAUGCUAUUACAUUUAUGCUGUGUUUUAAAGAGCAUUAGAUUUCAGCUGUAUCUGACUUAAAAGCAAUAUACGAGAUACACAAACUCUUCCAAAGAAUUGUCUAUAUGCCAAAUCUCACCCUUGUAUUUGAUUUAUUGUUCAGUGCUUUCUGUCCUGUUACAGAAUCCAAAACUCAGCCAUAGUUCAAAGUAUUCAGCCAUUCUGGCAAACCUAAAUUUGGCUCUCCUCUUUCCUGCAAUAGAAGGCAUUUUACCCUCACUACCAGAAGGCACUGGCAUGGAAGUGACAACAAGAAGGAAAAACUGCAUAAUUCUUCUCCUUCUCCAAUGAAGUAUGGGAGUGCACUGUGUUGGUAGAGAUGCUCCAGAAUGCAUACAGUGGUUAGAUCAGAACUUUUCUCCUCUCCCUGAAGUCAGAAAACAUUACUUCGAUGUGGCACUUAGCAUCUUGAUACUCAAGUGCUGAGUCCUUGUAGAGCUACAUAAGAAUAUUCAAAGCUAUUAAAUAUUGUGUAAUUUGUUUUUGGCUGCUGAAACCUGCCUGUGGGGACAAAUCCCAAAAGCCACAGCUGCGGGUAGAGCACAGUAACAGCUUUAGGAUUAAUGAGGUAAAGAUUUGGUUUCCAAUAUUUAAUUGGACUUCCAAAUUUUUAUUUUUAUUUUUUUUUUCUGCAUUGCUUCAAUUUCAUAACUGUGUACUUUGGGACUUUAAAGUUUCCAGUGUACCUUGAACUGGGCUCUGCCUAACCAUGAUUAAACCCCGAGCCCACAUGGGAUCAAGAAUAUAUAAAUAAUAAUUAUAAUAAUAAGCAUAUCAUUGUUGUUAUUUCUUUAGGAGAAACCAUAUUUUCAGCAGAUAAAAGAAAAGUAAGAAAUGGAGUCAAAGAGUUACCUUUCCAUGGGUAUUGGAAUAUUCCACUGAGCGUUUUGGUUUGACAGUCAUAAAAAAUUAGGCAGUUUUGUCCAUUCCUGAGCAAGCUAAGUGAAAUGGGGGAUAGGUGGGGCUAAAGACACGCCUCUGAUCUCUGUGUUUCUGACAUGUUUUGGUCACUUCGCUGCAUCCCUGUGCUGGACCAUGAGCACCGUUCGCCAUCUCACUGCCAGCCCAGGGGAGGUCCCAGCUGGCGCAAGGCCCAGGUGUCCUGUAAGGGAGAAACCCAGUGGCAACAUGCAUGUUGAACGUGUGAUGGAGCUGGAGCACUGGGCUCGCUGUGAGCGGCGUGAGGCUGUGCGAGGGCUCAGGCAGUGCUGACAGCAGCUGUGGAAAGGAUUGCGGACAGACGUUUGGAAAGGAAAGGCCAUGUGCCAGAUGGCAACCAACCGGCAGAGCCCGGCGCUGGGGGGGCGGGGAGGAGAAGAAGAAGAAAAAAAAGCCCUAAGCAGGGAACUGGUCUUGUGGGGGCAAUGCAGAUUUCAUUGUGAGGUAUUAAAAAAAUAAUAAUAAUCCACACUGGCCGCUGUUUUUCCACAGGGCAACUUUUUAUCAGAGACCUGUAGCAAAAACAUUGCAAAAUCUCACCUCGCUUAUUUGUAAGUCAGAAAGCCAUGAAGGAAAUAAAAAGCUUUCUUCAAGGAGAGUUUGAUGGGUUGUUUAGCCUGCUCUGUCAUUUUUCUUGUCUCUCUUCAUAACCCCUAUGCAACCCAGAAACGGCCAGUAAAAAAGAGAGAACCUCUGCUUGUUUAAUUACUUCCUGAAAAUUUGAUAACUACUACUUCAGCCUCAUUGGAUAAUCUACUUUUAAAUUGCCUAGUCUUUCAAAGACAGCAUAAUUAUUUGAGCGCGCUUACUUCCCUAGCUAUACAUCAUGCCUAUCAAAAUUAAAUGUUUCCAACAUACCAUUGCGGCAUUUUAACAUUUCACUUCUGUAAUACAUUUAACAGUAUAUUGACCCCAUACUUCCUUUUUAACAAAUUUUCAUACCUCAGGCAGUGAAGCACUGCCAGAAGAUGGAUCUUUAGUCUCUGACUGGGGAAUUGAGUAAUUUAAGGAAUGAUAAAGAGACUCAUAAUACGCAAAAUGUGGCUGUAAUGUGAUGUUUAAGAAUUCCUUCCUUUAUUUCAGUUUGAAGAGACUAUUUCAUUAAUAGAACUAAUUUUUGAACAAAGUUAUUUAAGCAGGAGUCAUCUCAUGAGUUUGCAGUUUUGUUACGCGUUUACCCAGAAUGCGUGUUUUUUCAAAGGGAUUCUGUGAAGAUUUUAUUUCAAAAUGAGAAAAGCAUUUAUUAAAACUGAAGAAGAAAUGAUACAGUCUGUUCUGUUCAUUCAGCAGACCCACAUUUUAACAGGAAAAAUGGUGCGUUUCUGAAAUAUUAUUUUUCUAUGUUCCAUAGGAUUAUUCCUACUUUAAUAUCAUCACCAGGAAAAAGAAAAAAAAGAAUCCUAAAGAACAGGUAUUGGUAAAUCAAUAAACUAUGCAUUGAGUGCGUGUUCAGAAUGCAACCACUGCAACAGAAGUGUGUGUUUUUCAAGGCUGAAAGGCUCCCCCCUGUACUUGGAUUUAUUGAAUAAAGAAAUGGGAGGCUAGAAGUGGCUCCAAAUACAGACUUUAGAGCACUUCUGAGCAUUCCUCUCUCAGGAUAUGCUGAAUUUGAGGUUUGGUGGUAUUUAGUUGACCUUUUUUAUUUUUAUUUUUUACUUAUUUUUUUUAACUUGUACUGAGUAACAUCAGUAAGCCACACUUUCAAAAGAGAGAAAGGUUUUAUUUGCAGAAAUGCAUGCAGAAUGUAGAGGCAGAUCCUGUUGGUGUAUGUACUGCACGUGUGAGUGUGCAUGCAAGCCAGAAGACUGUCUACAGCACAUGUGCAGGUCAAUCCAGCAUGAGCAAAACCAAAAGCAAACGAGGUAAAGAAACAGCACGUAAAGAAGGGGGAAAAAAAAGAACCCCCCCUUGGUUCUAAAUCAUCAUAAAGACUGCAAUAUCCUGUUAUCUAUUGUAGUAACAUCAUAUACAAAAUAAAGAAACAAAUGUUGCCCUUCUGUGAAGGGCAGAUAAUAAAAGAUUGAUUCAUUAAAAAGAAAAAAACAGAGGAGAUCAGAAAUAUGCUGUUUUAAGAGUUAUGCUAAAGAAAAACACAGACAGACUUAAAUUCUAAGCAGCUUGAAUUUCUUCAUUGUGGCUGUUACUGAUGUCUCACGGAGUGAACAGCAUAGAUGUGAGAUGAAGAACAAGCAAAAGAGAUUGGAUGUCUGGUACCCACAAACCUGUUCCUAAAACCUAUUGAGCUAGUGAAGAAGAAUUUUGUAUGCUGAUCUUCAUUUAUUUUUUCCUACCACAAACCUUAAAAAGACAGAAGUAAGAGCACCAAUGUAAUAAAUGCCUGGGGAGCUGACAACAAAUGCAUUUCACCCUAAAGAUUACUCACCAUGGAUUGGCACACGUUUAAAAUACUCAUCCAGAGUGCCUCUUUGAUUCUGUUAUUGUGGUUAGCUAACAGCAGUUAGGUAGAUGUUAGGAAGGUACGUGUGUCAAACUGUAACAUCAAAUGACAAGAAAAUAACUACACUAGUGCAGGCAUGACAUUUUUAAAUUCCAUAUCAAGGAAUUAAAAUGUUACCUACCUUUUUCUAAAAUUUGGGUCCAAAAUGUCAUUGAUUACUAAAAUGAUUUUUAUCCUCCUUCAUACCCAAAACACACUUCAGAGUUUGGGAAAUAUUCAAAAUGGCAAAUCUUGCUUGAACUUAGAAAGCUUUUGCAGGAGUAACAGAUGAAAUAAUAAAUAAUAUUCAUAAAUAAAUCUUCAGCUCUUACCCACAACAAGAUCGACGCAACAUGGUAUAGCAAAGUGAAAACUGAUACAGGAGUAUAUUUAGAGAAAAUCCAUAGAACUCACAGGAAUGAGCUUCAGCCGAGGAAUGUUUGCCAGAUCUGGAAGGACUCUCAGCAAUCAACAGUGCAUAUGCUUAGAAAGUGUACAUGUUAUGGCUGCUGAACAAAAGAAUUAAAUGCCAGCAGUUGGACUCUCGGGAUCUCAUGUAGUCCCCUACAGAAGUCUGGCCAGCUAGUGGCAAGUAUUCUGCACUACCCAAACUUGCAGUACCCACCUAGCUGUCCAAGUAAGACAUUUGCUUAGGCAGAAAGUGUGCUAAGGGAAGGGAAUAACCUUCCAUAUCCUGACAUCUGCAUCCAUGCUUUCAGCGUACUUGGUCUGCUAGCAUGCAUAGCUAGUGCCAUUAUAGCAUAAUGCCAGUUUUACUUGUACUGAGUAUUAAAUGGCACACACAGCUUCAUUCCACAUCUGAGCUUUUUGUUUUCUCAGUGGCUUAGACAGAGUGCGUGUGUAGAUUAACCAAAGUUAUUAAGAAAGAAGGAACAGGUCAUCGUUUAUUUGUAGUUCGUUCGGUUUGAUUAAUCAUCGGUGGAUUUGGAAAAUUUCUGUAAUGAACUAAACAAAAAUGCUUCUGUUCAGAAGAGCACUCCCCAACCGUUCUCACUAAGUAUCCCAUGCUUGCUUAAUAUUUAAGGUCAGAAUAGUCACAGUAGAAUUAAAUCACAGUUCUGAACUGAGCUAUGCUCACAGUGAUUUAUCAAAGCGGAUUAGAUCUUAAAAAUCAAUCACUCUAAAUGAAAGAAUUCCAGGUGACGCCCCACAUGGAAUUAAUAUCUAAUUAAGGAUAACAGUCUCAAAGGGGGGAAAAACAUUCUUCUGUAACUCAUGCACGUGUAUCUCUUUCUAACUUUUCUUAAAUUACAUAGAAACUGUCGCAGUAGCUGCCAUAAAAACUCUACACUUUUGUUUCAGCCUGUUAUCAAAUUCAUGUUACCCUGUAUGCCCACAUAAAAUAAUAACUAACCACUCCUAAAAAUCUUAUCUAAUAAAAAAGACUUGUACAUAAAUCAGUUUCUGAAUAGAAGUUUGACCUCGACUUUUUAUAAGAGCAUUUUAAAUCUCACCGAAGGGAAAGGUUCUAAAAAAUACCUUAAGGAGAACUUAUUUUGAUAGCAGUUCAUAGUAAUCAUCAUAAUAAUAAAACCUACAUUUCCUCUCUUUCUCCUGGUUUUGUAUGCUCUGGGGCUGUUCUUGAACUGUUUGAAUUUUAUUUCAUACUCCCCACAUUCCUCUAAUGGGGUUUUGCAGAGCUGCUCUGUGACAGCCAUCAUACAAAUAGUUUUCUGGGUUUGAAAUUUGUCUGGGUUACGUGCACACUCCUUGGGGCAAGGCUCAGGGGAAAUCCCCACUGUGGUGAGACCUGUUUCCCAAUUGAUUAUGAUGGAGCUGGCAUUUUGUAAAGAAAAUACAUCUGUGAGAGCCAUGAUGUUCCUGUACAGGUAGAGUGCUAUGAAAAUAGAAACAAGUCAGCUACUGUAGUUAAACAAGUACUUCCUUAUUCUUAGAAAAAUAAAGGAAAAUAUGUUUUAAGUAAAAAUAAUAAGCUCUUUUUAAUAAUGGAUGAUUUUGUAACAAUCUGCUACAAUCUGCUGUUAAAAAAAGUCGUCUGGGCCAAAGAUUCCUUUCCUCCUCAAAGGAUUUCUUUUUACUUAUUUAUUUCUUUGACUUUGAAAAAGGGUAAGAAUUAUUUCUUUAAACAACUGGCUGCAGAUUAAAAUUAACACUGUACGUUUCAAUUAUUAUCAAUUCAUCAAUGAAUCAAGAGAGCUGGUAUCUUAUUUUAAUUAAAAUAGUUCCAUCAGAUAACCUAAGCCUCUAAAGCCAUAUAUUUGAUUUUAAUUAAAAAAAAUUCUGGUUGUGAUCAUUGUUCAGAAUUAAUAUACCAAAUAAAAUAUGGGAAGAAAAGAGGUAAGGGGAGGUUAUAUAGUGUUACCUGAUAAAAGGAGACAGUAAUAUUUAAAAUGAGGUAAGUGUUACACCGAUUUAUGAUGUAUUUUAUCUUCUGGAGAAACCCUAGUUUAUCGUACUGUCGUUUAGUUUGAAACGUCAGCUGUAUAUCUUUCUGCUUUCGAAUGUUACUCUAGGUUGAAAGGAAAAGGUUUGCAGUGAUGUGAUGUAUAAGCAGAUCAAAAGCUUGGCAUUUUUUUCCUGGGAUAAUUCACUUUUAUAUUGAAAUAUUUUUGUUGUCAUAUAUAUAUAAAUAUUAUAAAUAUCUUAUAAAUAUUUUGAAAGAAUAUUAAUUAAUAACACUUAACAAUUCUCUCAUCUUUAUAGCCCCAUACAAACAUCUACUAAUCAGAAAGGAUGAAGAUGUUCCUUUUGUUUCAGUUCCCACUCAAAUUAUCAUGUAAACAUCCUAAACCCUAACCCACUAGCACUAAAAUUUCUAUUUUUUCUUUCUUUUGAAAACAAAACAGAAUAUCUUCAUUCACAGUCUGCUUUUCUUUGUAUCUGUAACAUAUUUGCAUCAAGAGUUUUGCCAGUAUAGAAGGGAUUUAAUUUGUAAGAAAGCAGAAGAGCUCGAGUGGUGGACUUACAAAUAAAUAUAAAUUUAAUGCCCAGAUAGUGCCAUACUGCUAAUGGAUUUAUUCUCAACAUAUACUCUCAUCAGUUGUAAAUUAGACUCCACCUCCAUUGUGUAUGUUUAAAAGUUUUCUAAGUUCUCAAAAAAACAAAAGUAUGAGUUCCCCUGGCCCCAAUACCAAAACAUCAGGGCAAACUAAGUCAGCCUCUAAAUCAAUCACCUAAUCUUAUCAUUUAAAAGUGAUGUAUCAGCCAAGAGCCAAACUAACCCCUACGUCACCACUUGCCAAAGGAGCAGGGCGAGCUGAGGUGGUGCUUUGCUUUGGCUGCAUGGUGCCAAGGAUGGUACCAAGUGUUGUUGGGCUUUUUCCUAAAAUUACAAGACAUAGAAGAUGCAAGAUCUCGUGUGACUGAAAAGAGAAGAAAUGCUGUUCAUCUGCAGGUCAACAGGAUUCCAUUUCUCUCAAGGUAGCAGCUCCUCCCUCUUCCUGAUUUCCAAAUACAGGAGAAAAAAUGACCUGUCACUUCUCAGUGAUGGCUGUCUAACAGUGCUGGGCUCCUAGCCCUUAGGAUUGCACCAGUGAACCAUUUACCAUUCAAAAUCACAUCAUAGCCAUGGAUGGCUGAGCCCAAAUGCUUGAAGACAUUUAUCCAUCCAAUUUCAGCAUGCACAUGUAUAUCCAAUGCAGAAUAUUUUUCUAAUUUUCUUUGCUUAGAUAUAGUGAUAUAUACACACUUCAAAGAAAUUAGCUGAAGGAAAAAAUGUUAGUCUUCAUUUGUACUCACAGUGGGUUGUUUUGCUCUGCAUGAACUAAUGCCGGCUGCCCCAAGCACCACUGUUUAUUUCCAUUUACAGCAAUUUGAAGGAUAAUGUAUAGUUGUAGUAUAAGGAUUAUAGUUGCUUGCCGCUGCUGUCAGCACACAUUAUUAAAGAAGUUCAAGCCCUCAAGUCCCAUGACCUUCCACUUUUUAUCUUUAAAAAAGCAACUCUUGGUCAAGGUUAUCGUAGAUUUAUUCACAUUGUUUUUCAUUUCUGUAUCUCUUCACUUGUUCCCAGGGUAAAUGGGAUAAUAAUUAUUGUAAUCUACAAAGCUUCAGCAUAUUUGCCUCAUGAGAGUUCAGUGUCUAGGCUUUAGUGUUAACAUCUUGGAUGUAAGUACCAGAAAAGAAAUUACAACUAAACCAGGAUUAUUUUUCGCUAUUAUUAUUAUUGUUGUAGAGUCACUUUUUUGUGUUUACAUGAUUUUUUCUUUUUUUCCUAAAGCCUAACUUUUUCCAAUUAAGGAAAAGAAGCAUAAAUCUUCCAGGGACCUCAGCUCACCAUUUAAUCUCAUUAUGGCUGAUAAGGAAUUAAUGACUGUUGUGCACAUAUAUGUAUCCUGGGGAUUGAAAUGAGCACGGUUCAGACAUUUAUGACAGCAGGAUCUCAUUUAUGCAUAUGUGAUCACUUACAUUCUCUUAACAUCAGCACAGUGGAUCCACUGAGCUCUUCCACAUCAGAUGAAUGACAAAGAAGAGUCUGCUAUUGAUGGGCUGCUUUAGGUUUGGCCCACCGAAGAAAGCAGCUCUUGAAGACAUUUUCAGACCUUGUCUUGGCCAGACGCCUACACACAUUGGGACUUUGGAAUAAAUUUAGAAGUGCCACUUUGAGGCUUUAAUUUUGUCUGCUAGUCUUGAAUGGCUUGCAGAUAAUAAUCUGCAUCACUUAUGCACAUGCACAAACGGAUGUAUAUGCGUGGAUGUACACAAGGAUGUAGACCACAAAGUCUUAGUUAGGAAAUGAAGUGUAUGCUUUUCUGACUCCCUUCCAUGAUUCUGAAAAGAAAAAAAGAAAUGCUUUCAAGUUCUCUCAGAAUAAGACAGAUUCUUGAAAGACCCAAAACAGAGCCAUAACCCAGUUCGUGACUAAACUGACAAUGAAACAAAAGCAUGAAGGUAUGUCUUGACUCUUUCUUUAGUGGUUUCCUAUUAGAGAGGCAUCUGUUUGUCUGCUAUUUGCUACGCUUCCAUCAAGCUGGGAAAUACAUGGACUUGCAACGUACAAUAUUCACACAAUGCUGGCAACAAGUGACACUUUAUUAAAAAAAUUAAGAAAGCAAAACAAUUAUAAAAUAAGUAUUUGUAUGGGAGCCCAAUUAGCAUAUCUUUCCCUUUUUAUUCCUCUCUCAGAGAAAAACUUUCUGUUUUCCUGAAACUACAUGAUAAAGAAAGAGAACAAAUUCAGAAUCAGGGUCUCACUUUUCUGUGUGUCAGUGCUGUACAAGCUCUGACUUUACAGUUUUGUACAUCAGCAGAGGUAUACGGAAGGGAAGUCUGCAGACAAACCCCAUUUUGCCAAUAGCAGUAGAGUGCAAGACAAACAUUCAGGCCGAAUUGAUCCUUCCUAAUUGGUCAGGGUCUACAUAUUAAGAGGCACAAAACAUGCAGAGAACAGUCAAAAGACAAUUUAGUUACUAGGGGCCAGAAGAAUUUGCCCCAUGCUAUUUGGAAAUAAGAGUUUUGUUCUAACUAUUACAUUUUGCCAUUGCUUCUUGCACUGGUGUUUAGUAUUGAUUUAUUCAUACCCCCUACAAACCAAGCAAAAUACAACCCUCCAGAUAUUUAGCCUUGUGGUAGCUGUUGGCAGCCCCAAUGGUUUAGCACCUGUGUUUUACAAAUGGUGAAUCUAGGGCACAGAAGGACACUCAUUUACCACAAAUAGAGACCUAAAAAUAAAACUGCUUCUCAAGACUCCAAAAACCAGCUGCCAAGACUGUAGGGACAUAUCUAUAUUUUUCCAGAGACAUACUGUGUCCUCAAAAUUUCAGAGCAGAAAAAAAACCUUUCCUUAUUCAAAUCCAUUUUGAUUCAAAGGAAAAGAAACUUCGCCUUUGCUUGACAUACUGCCUCCAGGGCAACAUUCAAAAUGACCUCAUGUAAGAGUUUACAUUCAUAAUCCAUCACUGCAGAGAAAAAUCAAAACAACAGAAUCUUUCCCACUCCAAACUGACGUGUUGUUGUUCUUCCACGGCGAGUCCUUAGGAAAGACUCAGGGAUGUGAACCGACUCGCACCACAAAAAACACAAACAACUCGUCCCUGAAGGUGGGCACUUGCAAAUUAGUUGCAAGAAUGAAGUGGCUUAACAGCAAUUCAAACAUAAUUUGUUCAAAGCUCAAAGGCCUUUUUCAUGUCUGGUAACGAGGUCACAAAACCUGCCGAAAUAUCUCAAGGAUCACGUAUAGAAGAGAUUAAAUACUGCAUAAACAAAACACAGACGUUACGCGCUUUAACAAAUACUAGUUACAUUCUUUCAGUGAAAACUGUCUUUAAUACAGAUUUCUUUUCCCUUCCAAUUUCGUUCUGCAGCUAUUGGUAUAAUAUUCUAUGAUCUUGCAAAAAUGAUUUUAUUACUUACCAGAACAGGAGAAAUCUCACCCCCUCUUAAAUUGAAGCUGAUAAGGGAAAACCUCCCUAAUCCUAUUUGUCAGUCAAAAACAAAACAGAAUAAAACAAAACAAAACAUUCUUGCUCACCUCACAGAGUGGCUGAAUAAAUAAAUAUGACACAGCAGGUUUAGCGAUAAGAAGUCAACAAAUUGAGAAAGACCUUGAAUUCUGAACUAUUCUCAUUAUCAC
ensembl:lncRNA